UUUUUAGAGGAAAAAGAAAAUCACAGGACCCUGUGAAGGAAGAUUUUUAAAAGCAAGCUUAAAUGGAUCCUGCAGCCAUGGAGAAAUAAAUUCUGCCUGAGAGAGCUUACAAGUGAAUCUUCCCAGGGUCACCUGGGAAUGCCUGAUGAGAGCACAGCCCAGCAGCCACCAUGAUUGCAGCCUUGUGAGACAUCAAGCAGAGGACCCAACUAAGUUGUGCCCACACUUCUGACGCACAGAUACUUUGAAAUAAUAAAAGUAUGUUGUUUUACCUUG